GACGAACGCUGGCGGCGUGCUUAACACAUGCAAGUCGAACGGAAAGGCCCUGCUUGCAGGGUAAUCGAGUGGCGAACGGGUGAGUAACACGUGGGUGAUCUGCCCUGCACUUCGGGAUAAGUUUGGGAAACUGGGUCUAAUACCGGAUAGGAAACAUCUCUAGUGUAGUGGUUGGAAAGUUUUUUCGGUGUAGGAUGAGCUCGCGGCCUAUCAGCUUGUUGGUGUGGUAAUGGCCUACCAAGGCGGCGACGGGUAGCCGGCCUGAGAGGGUGUACGGCCACAUUGGGACUGAGAUACGGCCCAGACUCCUACGGGAGGCAGCAGUGGGGAAUAUUGCACAAUGGGCGUAAGCCUGAUGCAGCGACGCCGCGUGGGGGAUAAAGGCCUUCGGGUUGUAAACUCCUUUCGCUAGGGACGAAGCUUUUUGUGACGGUACCUAGAUAAGAAGCACCGGCUAACUACGUG
rnacentral:rRNA from 1 species